rnacentral:rRNA from 1 species
GAUGAACGCUGGCGGCAUGCCUAAGACAUGCAAGUCGAACGAGGUGGCCCAUUGACAAUUAAUGAAAGUGGAGUGCUUGCACAAAACUGGAUUUAAUUUGAUUUGGAUUUUCCACCUAGUGGCAAACGGGUGAGUAACACGUGGGUUACCUGCCCUUAAGUUGGGGAUAACAGUUGGAAACGAUUGCUAAUACCGAAUGUGCUCUACGGAGUAAAGAAGCCCUUAAAGCUUCGCUUAAGGAUGGGCCUGCGGCGCAUUAGCUAGUUGGUGGGGUAAUGGCCUACCAAGGCAACGAUGCGUAGCCGAACUGAGAGGUUGAUCGGCCACACUGGGACUGAGACACGGCCCAG